UACGGAGGGGGCAAGCGUUGUUCGGAAUUACUGGGCGUAAAGGGCGCGCAGGCGGCUGCUCAAGUCAGGCGUGAAAGGCCUGGGCUCAACCCGGGAAUUGCGCUUGAGACUGGGCUGGCUUGAGACCGGGAGAGGUGAGUGGAAUUCCCAGUGUAGCGGUGAAAUGCGUAGAUAUUGGGAGGAACACCAGUGGCGAAGGCGGCUCACUGGACCGGUACUGACGCUGAUGCGCGAAAGCGUGGGGAGCAAACAGG
rnacentral:rRNA from 1 species